GACCGCGUAGCUCAGAUGGAAGAGCAUUGGGCUAGUAUUCCAAAGGUCGUAGGUUCGAAUCCCGCCGUGGCCA
rnacentral:tRNA from 1 species